rnacentral:lncRNA from 1 species
ACAGAACUGUUAUCGCUGCCAAUUCAUAUAGCAGCAUAAAUGGCCAUGCAAUGUGUCGCGGGCGAUCAUGAUGGUAAUGUCCGAACGAGCGAACGAUCUCCAGGACCGUCUCCCCGUGGAGAAUUAUUUUGCAAUACAAUUAGGCAGAAGCAAAAGGAGAGGAUCGGCGGUUGUUGGCCAUUAUACGCCACACAGUUUACUACUCUAGUAGCAUCUUCGCAUGUGAUGGCCGGCCGUGAGCGAGCGAUGUCUAGUCGCUAGUGGAAGCGCGGGUCAUAAGUUUAUCUCGUGGUAGUUCUUGUGCGGAUUUGGUUUGUUGGUCGUGUGCUGCUACCUCCUCUCUAUUAUUUGCUGCGGUGGCACCGGCCGAGUUUAACCCGUCUAACGUAGCCGUGGGACAUAUACCUAACAAAAGCACCGUAGUCAUUGCACAUCGGAUGCUAUUUUUAAUCUUGUACAUUUUGUUCAUGACAUUGCGUUAAUUCUGCAGCUACAUAGUUUGUUUGUUUCUUUUUUUAUGAUCGAGAGCCUCACGAAUCUGUUAUAUUGGCUAUUUGCAUGCAUUUCGAAAGUCAACAAAACUCCUCUAUUUUUGGGAUAACUCUGGGGAGCAUGCAAUCUUUCAGAAAGUUCUCACAUUUUUCUGUGGUGCAACUAAACAAGAUGUGUUACAUCUUCCUGUGCUCUCAACUUACCACGGAGAAUACAUCUACAUUUUAGUUUUUUUACAUUGCCGCGUUCACUGAAUACUGCGAACCAAACCAGCGUUCACUCAAGGUCUAACUAUUUCCCCCGGGUAAAUAAUUGUUGAGAAAAGAUUAUAUCCCACCGGCUGAUCCGUUGAUCCAUCCGCCGUCCGCUCGUCCGUUAGAUCUCGCCUCGAUCACGAAUCAUUUUUCAAAACUGACUCGUUGUUUCAGAAACUGAAGCGUUGUUUCAGGAACGGGG